rnacentral:tRNA from 1 species
GGGCCCAUAGCUCAAUCGGUAGAGCGCGCGCCUUUUAAGCGCUAGGUCGCGGGUUCAAAUCCCGCUGGGCCCACCA